UAGGGAAUCUUCGGCAAUGGACGAAAGUCUGACCGAGCAACGCCGCGUGAGUGAAGAAGGUUUUCGGAUCGUAAAACUCUGUUGUUAGAGAAGAACAAGGACGUUAGUAACUGAACGUCCCCUAACGGUAUCUAACCAGAAAGCCACGGCUAACUACGUGCCAGCAGCCGCGGUAAUACGUAGGUGGCAAGCGUUGUCCGGAUUUAUUGGGCGUAAAGCGAGCGCAGGCGGUUUCUUAAGUCUGAUGUGAAAGCCCCCGGCUCAACCGGCGAGGGUCAGUGGAAACUGGGAGACUUGAGUGCAGAAGAGGAGGGUGGAAUUCCAGGUGUAGCGGUGAAAUGCGUAGAGAUAUGGAGGAACACCAGUGGCGAAGGCGGGCUGCUGGUCUGUAACUGACGCUGAGGGUCGAAAGCGUGGGGAGCAAAAAGG
rnacentral:rRNA from 1 species